rnacentral:rRNA from 1 species
UCGAUUCCGGAAGUAGCGGCGAGCGAACGCGGAUUAGCCCAAACUAAUAAAGUUUUCUUUAUUGGGGUUGCGGAAAUAUCAUAACGAAGAGGUAUCGUAAUUGAAGAGGUUUGGAAAGACCCACCACAGAAGGUAAUAGUCCUGUAUGUUAAACGAGAAGACUUUAGAUAUGAUCCAGAGUACCACGGGACACGUGAAACCCUGUGGGAAGCAGGAGGGACCACCCUCCAAGGCUAAAUACUACCUAGUGACCGAUAGCGUAUAGUACCGUGAGGGAAAGGUGAAAAGAACCCCG